rnacentral:rRNA from 1 species
CCCUGUGGGGAGAGAAGAAUAAGCGAGUGUAAUAUCCUCGUGAUGACGGUAUCUCCUUAGCAAGCACCGGCUAACUCUGUGC